GCGAUUUUGCUAUUAUGUGUUCUUUUAAUUAAAAUGAUUCUUUUUAAGGACUUUCUUUGCUUCGGCUUGGAAGUU
rnacentral:rRNA from 1 species